UCAAGUUCUAUUUAAAGGCAAGCCCUGGCCUUGCAAAAAAUCACUCUUGCUGCUGCUUGCUGCUGGUGGUGAGAGAGUUUGGCUUCAGACUUCUUGUGCCUGCCUGCUUGCCUGCCUCUGUGCUGGUGAUGGUGGAAGGUUGCUCAUUCUGCCCGCCCCCCCGCCCUGCUGUGCCCGCCUGCUCCCAACCCACUACUGGUCAGGUAAGGUUUUUUCCCCUGACCAGUGUGUGUGUGGCAAAAGAUUCUUCAGGACAACAAGGGGAUUUUUCAACAAAUCCCUUUGAUGAUGCAUCCUUUUGAAGUUCAACAAGCCUCCUCUACAGCCCUGAACUCCAGCAAAACUCAGCACUGGCUUGCAAGCAUUUUCAGGAAACAAGGGGGACUAUAGCACAAUGACAGGACUGUAAGCCAAACACUGGAAUGUCUGAGGCUAAGAAGCGUGUGGGAGCCCUACUGAGGGCCAUAAACAAUGGAGAUACCUGCUGGAGUGGAACCAGCUCAUUUGCAUGUCAAGAGGGCCUCCAGGGAUGAUAAACCUCUUAAAACCACGCGGAGUCCAAGGGGCAGCAACUGAGAAGGCCUGAUCUCAAAUUGCCAUCAGACAAACUGAAGACAGAACUCUCCUGAUUAUCUUAAUGAACGGUGGGGAUUUUGCAGAGAAAGGUGCUCUCUCGGGUAACCUGGGCCUAAGCCACUCAGGGCUUUAAAGAUCAAUAUGAUGUAGUUACUGUGUUCAGUGGGAGCAGAACCACAGGAUCCAGAAGUGGGAAACCCAAGCAGUGAGCAGCAUGUGAGUGUAUCGGCAUCACACAGAGGGCAAGGUACCACCUGUAUAGGACUUCAUCAAGAGCAUCAUCCUGUCUCCCAGGCAGUUCAUCAUCAGCAGAACAAGGAUAUCUUGAAAGACUGUUGAGAAGCCAAACAUCCAAGGACAAAACAUCAUCAGAGAAUAACUGCUGUGGUUUCUUUUCCUAGGGCCCUGCAGGCCAACUUUUGUCACCAUGUGCCUGGCUCAUGUAAAUUUGCUAAUUGCUUGAGCAAAAGGAGUGGCUGGGUGCCACUGUGUUUGUCUUCCAUUCAUUGAAUAGGAUUAGGGACUCUGACACAAGUGAUUAAUCACCAUACCGCAGACACACAGAACUUGUCACCUCUAAACAGAGAGCGGCCACAAUCUAUGCCAAACAGCUGCUGGUUCCUGAUAUCGAACUUUCCUGAUCUCUGCCUCUUCUGUCUGCUCUUUUCUGUGAGCAAAAAGCUUCAGCCUCAUCAAAUGAAGCCUGAACUCACAGACAGGACUGUGCUAAGUGGUGAAAGUGGGUGAGAGCAGCUAGGUAUGCAGUACUAACAGAACAGGUUCUCUUCUUUCAUCACUGCAACUUCUUAGAAGUGAUGCUAAAGAUACUGUCUCAACAUUAUAUUGCACUCUUCAUAUUCUGUACCAAGAAAACAAAAAUCAAAAUCUGUACAAACUGAUUCAUUUUUCACAAACAGUGCCACGUGGCAAUUAGUCCUAGUAGAUUUAAAUCUUGCAUUGAGUAUGGGUAGUCUGAUCACAACUAGAAUGGGUUACCCUAAGGCUGCAUUACCCCAAGGCUGCUCUGGACCAAGUGCCUGGCACUUAUGAUCCUACAAACCCAUUGUGUUCCUGAGGGAAUUGUUAAUGUCAGUUUAUAUCCCCUUAAAGAAGAAUUAGACAAUUAAUGUCUAAUUAAUGGAGGACAGAUCUACCAAUAGCUGUCAACAAUGACUACUAGAAAUGCUUGUCUCCACCAUUCCAUUCUUGUAGCUUCCCAGUGGCACAUAUGGCUGGCCACCAUUUGAGAUGAUAGCUGACAUUCUGGGCAGUUUCCAGUGGGCACUGCUGUUUGCUUGUUUAAAAGGGUUCAUGUAAUUGUGCAAUAGUGCUCUUGGACAAAUGUCAGAAUUGUGCAACUGUGGAUGUGUGGUCAUUAUUUCCAGCGGCCAUACACUGGGCAACACAUUUGUGAAAUUCCAGUGUUUGUGCAAGAAUACUAUUUUACAAUUGUAUGCAGCAGCUCCUGUGGUGCUAACAAUGGCCACAGGAAGUUGCAAGAAUGUCAGCCAGGAUAUUGAACUUGAUGGGCCUUUGGCCUAAGUGAUCUGGCAAAGAAGCUCCCAUGCUCCUGUUUUCUGAUUUGUGUACUUUGCUGGUUUGUAGUAAAUCUGAAGAAUCAAAAAUGCCUAAUAAGUCAAAAGAAACUCUUAAUGUUGUUCUCUUAUUUGUUAAUUUUUAAAAAACUCUUGUAUUUGAAGGCAAUCUUUGGCUGAAAACAUUUGCAAGUAAAUAUCAAU